CAUUUCAGUCCACUAACUUAACUCCAUCCAUUUAUUUUGUUAACUUUGGGUGAAAUGACCAAAUUGCCCCUGCUAACUUAACAAAUUGUAAUAAAAAAUGCAGUUCACAGAAUUCGAACCCAUGACCUUUGAUUUUGAAAACAACCACCCAUGGGUUCGAAUUCUGUGAACUGCAUUUUUUAUUACAAUUUGUUAAGUUAGCAGGGGCAAUUUGGUCAUUUCACCCAAAGUUAACAAAAUAAAUGGAUGGAGUUAAGUUAGUGGACUGAAAUG
rnacentral:miRNA from 1 species